CAGUCGCCGCGGGAAAACGUAGGGGGCAAGCGUUAUCCGGAAUUACUGGGUGUAAAGGGAGCGUAGACGGUUAAACAAGUCUGAAGUGAAAUGCCGGGGCUCAACCCCGGAGCUGCUUUGGGAACUGUAGAACUGGAGUGUCGGAGGGGUAAGCGGAAUUCCCAGUGUAGCGGUGAAAUGCGUAGAUAUUGGGAGGAACACCGGCGGCGAAGGCGGCUUACUGGACGACAACUGACGUUGAGGCUCGAAGGCGUGGGUAGCAAACAGGAUUAGAUACCCCCGUAGUCCCUGUCUCUUAUAC
rnacentral:rRNA from 1 species